rnacentral:tRNA from 1 species
GCUCGGCCUGGCCGGGCUGGGCGGCUGGCUGCUCGCCGGCCGGUCGGUGCCGACGCCGGGCCGGGGGC